rnacentral:rRNA from 1 species
UGCGUAGAUAUAUGGAGGAACACCAGUGGCGAAGGCGGCUCUCUGGUCUGUAACUGACGCUGAGGCUCGAAAGCGUGGGGAGCGAACAGGAUUAGAUACCCUGGUAGUCCACGCCGUAAACGAUGAGUGCUAAGUGUUGGAGGGUUUCCGCCCUUCAGUGCUGCAGCAAACGCAUUAAGCACUCCGCCUGGGGAGUACGACCGCAAGGUUGAAACUCAAAGGAAUUGACGGGGGCCCGCACAAGCGGUGGAGCAUGUGGUUUAAUUCGAAGCAACGCGAAGAACCUUACCAGGUCUUGACACCCUUUGACCACUCUAGAGAUAGAGCUUCCCCUUCGGGGGCAAAGUGACAGGUGGUGCAUGGUUGUCGUCAGCUCGUGUCGUGAGAUGUUGGGCUAAGUCCCGCAACGAGCGCAACCCUUAUUGUUAGUUGCCAUCAUUUAGUUGGGCACUCUAGCGAGACUGCCGGUGACAAACCGGAGGAAGGUGGGGAUGACGUCAAAUCAUCAUGCCCCUUAUGACCUGGGCUACACACGUGCUACAAUGGGAAGUACAACGAGUUGCGAAGUCGCGAGGCUAAGCUAAUCUCUUAAAGCUUCUCUCAGUUCGGAUUGUAGGCUGCAACUCGCCUACAUGAAGCCGGAAUCGCUAGUAAUCGCGGAUCAGCACGCCGCGGUGAAUACGUUCCCGGGCCUUGUACACACCGCCCG